rnacentral:rRNA from 1 species
UGGGGAAUCUUGGACAAUGGGGGCAACCCUGAUCCAGCCAUGCCGCGUGAGUGAUGAAGGCCUUAGGGUUGUAAAGCUCUUUCACCGGUGAAGAUAAUGACGGUAGCCGGAGAAGAAGCCCCGGCUAACUCCGUGCCAGCAGCCGCGGUAAUACGGAGGGGGCUAGCGUUGUUCGGAAUUACUGGGCGUAAAGCGCGCGUAGGCGGACUGAUCAGUCAGGGGUGAAAUCCCGGGGCUCAACCCCGGAACUGCCUCCAAAACUAUUGGUCUAGAGUUCGAGAGAGGUGAGUGGAAUUCCAAGUGUAGAGGUGAAAUUCGUAGAUAUUUGGAGGAACACCAGUGGCGAAGGCGGCUCACUGGCUCGAUACUGACGCUGAGGUGCGAAAGUGUGGGGAGCAAACAGGAUUAGAUACCCUGGUAGUCCACACCGUAAACGAUGAAUGCCAGUCGUCGGGUAGCAUGCUAUUCGGUGACACACCUAACGGAUUAAGCAUUCCGCCUGGGAGUACGGUCGCAAGAUUAAAAGC